UCCGAGUUGACCCCGGCAGUCUCUUAUGAGUCCCCGCCAUCACGCGCUGGCAACAUAAGACAAGGGUUGCGCUCGUUGCGGGACUUAACCCAACAUCUCACGACACGAGCUGACGACAGCCAUGCAGCACCUGUGCACGAGUCCCGAAGGAGGCCCUCGGUUUCUCGAGGGUUUCUCGUGUAUGUCAAGCCUAGGUAAGGUUCUUCGCGUUGCGUCGAAUUAAACCACAUGAUCCACCGCUUGUGCGGGCCCCCGUCAAUUCCUUUGAGUUUCAGCCUUGCGGCCGUACUCCCCAGGCGGGGUACUUACUGCGUUAGCGACGGCACCGAAGGGGUCGCUCCCCCCGACGCCUAGUACCCAUCGUUUACGGCGUGGACUAC
rnacentral:misc_RNA from 1 species